AUAGUAGUAGUUUAACAUAAAACAUAAAGUUGCAAACUUUAAUAUCCUUUAGCUACUGUU
rnacentral:tRNA from 1 species